ACGGGCCGAUCUUGGCAGCACCGGGCCGCCGCAGGGAACAGGCUGCAACCACCAGGGAGACCGUGCGGGCGUGCGAAUGACCCGGAUGUACCGGGGGCAGCAAGCAGCUCCUGGGCCGUGCAGCAGUAAGGCUUACUGGAGAAAUGCAGCACAAUUCAAUACAAACUUCAUCAAACCAAAGGAGCCAGUGGGAACAGGAGCCACAGUGAUGUAUUAAACACAUGGCCGAUCCUACAAGGAUUCUUCAGCAUCUCUUGGGUGGAAAGAUCCUAGAAGGAAAAUCCAUUACGUGCUCCUUACCAAGCAAUGUAAGGAUCUUGUCUAAAGAAACAUACUCUAGACCGUAUCAGCAACGUUUUAAAAGGUGCUUACUGGUCACGAGCCUGAUCCUGUUUCUACUGGACCCAGCGAACUCGUUGGCAUGCCUGUUUGAGUAACACACCCCAGAGCUGUGAUUACUUCUCUCCUCUGAAACUGGAGAAUCUGCAUAAUAGACAUUUUACUGUUUCCACUGCACAACUACCUACUUGAAAGGCUUCUUGCACCUUCCUCUAUAAAACCUGGUACUGGCCACUCAUAAAUAGCAGACCAGAGGGACUAUCCAGUCCAAACCAACAUGGUAAUCAAAUCCCAGAUCCCUUCAGAAUUUAUUUCCUCUUAGAACAAAAAAAAUACAGGGUUAGUGAUCCUGCUGUGAUGAAAGCAGAUACCAUUUGAUGUUUCCUAUUCCUAUCAGGCAACUGAUGACAUGGCAAACACAAGCCCUAUUCCUCUUGUCUUUUUAAAAAGGGACUUUAAAAGAAUGAUCCAUUUAUAGAUAACAGCUCAUUUAUUCACUGGACAAGCUGGGAAUCAGAAUAUGAAGUUCUAACCACAAACCAGGCAAAUCAACUAGCUAUAAUUAUUUUGUUAAUAUCCUCUGUAUUUCACAACCAUUCCUUUUGAAAUGCACUGUAGCUUCUUCCUUAAGAAAGAGAGGUGGCUUUUGCAUACAGAAGUCGUGCUUGCAGCUCACACCCUGCUGCUGUCCCUUCUCAGACAGGGAAGUACAAAGCCUCAAAAGCAGAAGUGCUUUUCUUCUCACAGGCCAGUCCAAUACAUUUUUGGCUCUCAGGCUGAACUUCUAGAUGGGUUAGCCAAUAACAGGUGCAAGAUUUGCAUUAAUAAUAACAAAGAUUGAAAGGUCUCAAACCCGGCAUCUGCUGUAACAUAAGGGGAUAAUCUGCUUUUAUUCAAAGGAAAUUUAUCCAGAUCAGUCAGUAAUAAAAUGGCCCUCCAACAUCAUGUCAGUCACUUCAGUCUGAUACUUGGAGAAUCACAAACAGCCUCCGAGGAGCAUGCACACACCCAUGCAUGCAUGAUGAAACAUUAGCCUGCAACUCCUACCAACUGACAAAUGGCAAUCUUUUGAAUCAUCAAUUAAUAAUCGCUGGGUUUCAAACUGGGACUUACUGGAAAUCGCAGUGACUGAAACUAGGAACAUUAUCCACUCACUGGUGUUUCCUUGGGACUGACAUUUGCUGUGAUUAUCUUUAUUUGCAAGGGAAGAACAUGAAUAGUACACAAGAGAUACUAGAGCUAUGUAAUGCUAAUAUUCCAGAGUUCUAACCUUAUUACUUUUCAUCUUCAAUUCACUUUACAAACAUUAACUAGCUGAUCUCCACAACCACAUCUGUCCGGUAGGUAAACAGAAUUAAUCCCAUUUUACAAGUGGGGAAACUGAGGCAGACAAGCCAAGUGACAUUAAGGUCACAGAGGGAGUCAUUAUCAAGGUUUAAAAGCAUAACUCAAAUUCCUGCCUCCCAAUCCUAUGCUUAGACCACUAGGACAUCUUCCCCAUAGAAGACUAUGCCUCUUUAAGUCCUAUUUCCACUGAAGGUCAUUUUAGUCCGAUUCUUCUGUCAUGUCCUUUGGUGUAAGUCAGGGUAAUUCCACUGACUUCAGUGGAAACACAUUAGUGUAAAACAGGUGUAAGAGGAGAAUCAGGCCCCAGGGAUCUGCAAAUGGAUGGGUCCAGCCACUCCCUUCUUUGUAAUUUACUUAUUUGAGCCAUGAGCAGGCCCCAUCAAAUCCACUCUAGUGCCAAUGGCUGAGCUUUCCAUUCUUUGUACCUUAUUUUAUUGCUUGAUCAACAAGCUAAGGAUUGUGGGCUAUUGAUUUGUAUGGUUAUUUUAAGCCCAAGGCAGGGAGAAGAAAAUCCCUUUAUUGUAAACAAACCUUUUGAUUGAUUAUUUGCGUAUUUAUGAACUUGCU